rnacentral:rRNA from 1 species
AUGGAUUCGAAGGCCCUCCUCUGCUGCACUGUAGUUCUGAUCGUUUUGUUUCUGCCGUUGAGUGCUUCCGACGAUCGGCUUGUCCCUAGCAAGCCGCUGUCUCCCGACAACAUCAGCAUCUCCGAUGGCGGCACAUUCGCCUUGGGCUUCUUCAACCCCUCCAACUCCACAUCAGCCAAGCUGUACCUUGGCAUAUGGUACAACAACAUCCCCAAGCUCACAGUUGUGUGGGUUGUCAACCGUGAAACCCCAAUCACCAACAACACUUCCUUUGCACCGGUGCUCUCCCUCACCAACAACUCCAGUCUCGUUAUCUCCGAAGGUAAUAGUGGUGGUCGUUUCCUUUGGAUGACACCGAACGUGACCACUAUCGUGGGCUCGUCUACCUCAACGGCGGUGCUUCUGAACGCCGGCAACCUUGUUAUCCGGUUGUCAAACGGCACCACGCCGUGGCAGAGUUUUGACCAGCAAACAGACUCGUUCCUCCCCGGGAUGAAGCUCCGAAUCAAAUCCAACACGCCCAACACUGUCGAGCGUCUGGUGUCGUGGAAGGACCCUGGCAACCCCUCGCCGGGGCGCUUCUCCUAUGGUAUCGACCCAGACUCGGCCUUCCAAGUAUUCCUGUGGGAUGAGAGAACUUGGUGUCCCGCAGCAUCCCAUGGACCGGGUUCCAAGUGA